ensembl:lncRNA
UAUUUUCUCUGCUGCAGCUAUCAUCCUAAAUAACAUCAGCCCACCAGUGACAGAGGCUUUACAGUGCAAUGGAGAACUAUUUUGAAGAGUUGUCCACAGAUCAUCACAGCCACACUGUGCACGCACCUUCACCCAGCAUCACAGAAACUUUUGUGUGUACCCAUCAACUCAUCUAGAAGCCAUAGGAUGCUGUUUGCCCUCUGCAUAUAACCUCUUCAUGCUGUUGGUUGUUCCCUAAGGCUCCUGCCAGCCCCUUCAGAAGGAAAGGGGUGGGGAGAAAUGGCCAAGGAGAGCUCCUGGUGCUGCCCCUGCUGCACGGAGGAUGUGACACAACCACGAAGUCACUGAGAUGAUGGUCCGGAGCAGCUGCAUUUUGCUCUGCACAAGAAAAUCCACCUUCAUACCAUCUCUGAUAUCUGGGUGAGCUCAGGUACGUGCAGGCAGGGCAGCCACCUCCCCCGGUACUCAACUCCAGGUCUGAGCUCCUCUCCCCAUAAGAGGGCGAGGGAGGGGAUCCGUGCAAGGCACCGUGCUUGGAGCCCUCUCAGUUCAAAGGUGCCCAAGGAGAUGGAGCUGGCCUAGGGAUGGCUGGAGGCCACACAGACGGGAAGUCACCACAGGUGAAAUCCCUCCCAGCAGCUGGCUUAUGAAAUAAUGCGAGGGGAGGCCGUAAUGAGCUGAAAGCACCCUCAGCUGGAGAUAAAUAUAUGCAAAUGAGAUGCACAAACAAAGGAGCCUGGACAGAGAAAUAUCUGCAAUUCCAGCAAAAUGCUGCCUGCAGCUAGAAGAUGAACAGCUUUGAUAAAAUGCUCCCCACAUGUGUCCGUACGGAUGACUACAGAAAGCAAGCCCCGUCCCUUGCCAUUAGCUGAAACACGGAGAGAAAGGCAGAGCAAGGCAGCACAGCGAUGCCGCGCAGCCCCUACCCUCACGGCAACAUUACAUAGCCCUGCCUAUUAUUUUUACGACGGCCUUUUUCGGUUCCCCCACCACCACUAUCACCCCACCCCACCCUCCAAAAAAAGGGGUUUGGAGGCAGAGUGCAUCUCUCAGCUUUGUUUAAAAGCGGCAUUGCAAUUUUUAGGUCUGCGGUCCCUACGUGCUCCCUGUGCAUUGACCCAGCCGGGCUUUGUUAAAGACAGCCGCGGUGCUGCUCUUCUGCCUUCGCAGGGACAUAGAGAGGGGAGCAGCCCCCAGUCCCCCACUUCCAGAGAUGGCAGGAAGGGUUAAUAACUGCAGGACAGAGGUGGCC